rnacentral:rRNA from 1 species
AUUGAACGCUGGCGGCAGGCCUAACACAUGCAAGUCGAACGAGUGGCGGACGGGUGAGUAAUGUGUGUGAAACAGCCAGAUGGAGGGGGAUAACUACGGGAAACGGUAGCUAAUACCGCAUACCAUCGGAUGUUCCCAGAUGGGAUUAGCUAGUAGGUGGGGUAAAGGCUCACCUAGGCGACGAUCCCUAGCUGGUAUGAGAGGAUGACCAGCCACACUGGAACUGAGACACGGUCCAGACUCCUACGGGAGGCAGCAGUGGGGAAUCUUGCACAAGGGGCGCAAGCCUGAUGCAGCAAUGCCGCGUGUAUGAAGAAGGCCUUCGGGUUGUAAAGUUCUUUCAGCAGGGAAGCGUUACCCGCAGAGAAAGCACCGGCUAACUCCGUGCCAGCAGCCGCGGUAAUUC